CAAUAGCGUAUAUUAAAGUUGUUGCGGUUAAAAAGCUCGUAGUUGGGUUUCUGCCGAGGACGACCGGUCCGCCCUCCGGGUGAGUAUCUGGCUCGGCCUGGGCAUCUUCUUGGAGAACGUAACUGCACUUGGCUGUGUGGUGCGGUAUUCAGGACUUUUACUUUGAGGAAAUUAGAGUGUUUCAAGCAGGCACACGCCUUGAAUACAUUAGCAUGGAAUAAUAAGAUAGGACCUCGGUUCUAUUUUGUUGGUUUCUAGAUCUGAGGUAAUGAUUAAUAGGGACAGUUGGGGGUAUUCGUAUUCCGUUGUCAGAGGUGAAAUUCUUGGAUUUACGGAAGACGAACUACUGCGAAAGCGUUUACCAAGGAUGUUUUCAUUAA
rnacentral:rRNA from 1 species